CCCUGGUCAGCUGGUCACAUUCCCUGUCCCGCCGUGCGUUCUGGGAGCUGGACGGCCUCCCCCAGCUGGGUCUGGCUAGGACUCGAGUCCCAGCGGUGGUGGAUUGGGAACGCUCUGACUCACCCUCGCUUUCCUCGCCUGCUUUUCCACCUAGGCUUAGCCUAGUCCAAUGCUCGGUGUGCUUCCCUCCCUCCCACCCAAACCCAGGCCCCGGUACUGCUCAUCCCGCUCUGCUGCCCACAGGACCCAGGACCGGGUAGAAGCUGUGUGACCUUGAAAACGACAUUAACUUCUCUGACCCCUUAUGUACAUCUACCAGAUGGUCACAGACCUCCUCAAAAGGCUGCACAUCAGCUGAAUGCUGCAGACCCAAGACGCACGCAGCCACAGAGAGGGUGGCCAGGACACCGUUAUUAUAUUAGAUUGUAGAUACACCAGAGUCCAGCCUGCACAUCCACCAGAACUGAUUUGGAAGAGCCGGGUUUCUCUGUGUAACAGCCCUAGCUGUCCUGUAACUCACUCUGAAGACCAGGCUGAC